rnacentral:lncRNA from 1 species
GCUAAUGGCUCGAGCCGUGAGAGGGACGUCACGGUUUGAGAAGUUUAUGUCUUGUUCUUUCAAGAUCUCUCGGGCUAGCGACGGAGUGUUGACCACGACGGUUAGUUUUGAGCCAAGGUUGAGUCUGAAGAUUGGACCGUAUUCUUGAGCGAGGUCUCUGAAGUAGGUGUGAAGGUCCGGUUUAAGAAACGGGAGGUUUCCGACGAUACGUAGCCCUCAGGGUCCAGGUGGUAGAGGCGGUUGCGGCGAGCAUUUGAGAAGGAACCAGAGAACUGUAAUGAUAGUAGUGAGAACUAGAAUUUCGUAAGGAGGAACGUCCAUUGUGUUGUCGGUAAAGAGAUUUGAAAACGGAGACAUAUCUUUUAUGUCUGUUUGUAGAAACUUUGAGAUAAAUGUGGUUUUAUGGUGUUUUUGCACAUCAUCAUUUCAGCUUCAGACGUUUCCCAAUAUAUUGAAAAAAUGUCAUAAAAAAAAUAAAAUUAUAGUAAAAACCAAACUUUUUUUGUGGACAUCUGGAAAUAUAUAUCCUGUGAAGGUGAUAAGAAACUUGCCAACAAAAAAUAAUUUAUUAAUGAAUACUUAUUCCUUUAAAAUAUGGGUUUUUAGUGCAACUAUAUUUUUACUUCGGAUGAAAAACUUUCAACUAAAACUUUACGUUUUAAAAUCCUUAACUAUUAAACUGUUAAUGACGUUAACCCUCCGUCGACAAAGUCGUCUUUUCUGAACGGAUUUCUGUUAAAUUGAAUCGCGGGAUUUUAUUUAAUUACAGAAACGACACAAGAUGUUUAAAACUUUUUUCUGGUUUUUAGUGAUUUAAACCCCCAACUAUUUUUAGAUCAGAUGAAAAAACCUCCAACUAAAAGUUUAUGUUUGUAAACUCUCAACUAUUGAAACGUAAAUGCAUGUAACCCUCCCUCAAUGGUGUCUUCUAUUCUGAACAAAGACAUGGUAAAUUGAAACACAACGUUUCAUUUAAGCAGAUAAACGACAUGAUAUAUUUAAAAUCAUCACGAUUGGUGUCAAAACGGCAUGAUUUUUUGAACCAGAUUUUAAAUCCCCUCAUUCUGUCUCUAGUUCUUUGAGAUUCUAUAGGCGGUGAUUCAAUCUGCUCUUCCAAACCAUCAUAUGGUUUAUCAAGUGUUUAGUCAGGCUAGAGAACAAGGUACAUUGCAUAGAUAGUUUUGGAUUCACAAAAUAGAUUGAAUUACUACAGUGUAUAUAUGCAUCAAAGUCCCAAGCUAGUUUAUUAUUAUUAUUUUUCUAUUUUAGUUAUAUUAAAGAAAUUUGACCCAAAAAAAGGAAUUUUGGACAGAUAUGAAACUAAUAUCAAAAAGCAAUGAUUGUAAGGUAAACAAAUGCUCUUAGUUCCAUAAUUUGUUUUUUUUUAAAACCAAAUUGAUGAUUAUUUUUAUUACACAAACAUACAUGACGUUCGAAAACUUCAUUAAUACAAAGAUCUUAGUUUCUACAGAUAAAGAUUAGGAUCAGACAACCUCGGAACGGGCAUGGCAAUAAGAGGGUUUUUGAGCUUCAAGACAAUACCAAACUUAUCUUCCACAUUUAACUCAUGGCCUUCUGGAAUCUUCCAAUCGAAUGAAUGCAACAGCGUUGCAAGAGUGUACUGAACCAUCCUCUCUGCGAGUGCUACACCGGCGCAAAUUCUCCGGCCAGAUCCAAAAGGAAGAAAGCUAUAGUCAGUUCCAUGGAAAUCACAAGACUUCUUAUCAAGAAACCUCUCGGGACGAAAUUCGUUCGGGUUUUCCCACACAUUUGGGUCUCUUUGAAUAGACCAAACAUUGAUGAAGAUUUUAGUGUCCUUAGGGACGGUGUAACCGCCGACCACAGCUGUUUCAGCUGGACGGUGAGGGACUAACAAAGGAACGGUCGGGUAAAGCCUAAGUGUUUCUUUCAUAAUGGCUACUAUGUAAGGUAGUCUAGUGAUGUGUGAUUCUUCAACAAUGUUAUCCUUUCCUACAACUUCGUCUAGCUCUUGUUGCGCUCUCUUCAUCGACUCUGGGUUCUUUAUAAGCUCGGCCAUCGCAAACUCUAUCGUGUUUGUAGAUGUAUCAGUACCACCAAUCACCAUAUCCUUCGCAUAUACAGUACGUAUAUAACAAACAUGAAUCAAAAUCAUUCUCAUGAGCUAAGAGACAUGUUAUGAAACAAUUAAGGGCAAAUCUCUAAAAAUAACAUAAAAGAUUGUUUUUAUGACCAAAAGAACACAGAAAAAAUGACUAAAUUAAAUAUGUUUCAUUAAAAAGGUAAAUAACAAUUAUAUUUCUACUUAAAUAUUUUUAAAAGAGAUUUUCGCAAUAAACUGAAUUUUUUAUUUAAAAAAAAAUAUUCUAAUUUUUUCUCUCCAAAAGAACCAGAACAACCCAAAAUUAAACUCUUGGGGGAGGAGUAUAAAUGUCUUUUACUCUUCAAUAAAAUCUAUUUUAGUUAUUUUGAUUUUGAAAACUAUUUUUGUGAUAAAAACUUUUUAGUACUGCUAUAUUUCUCAACAGUUAAUUACCGCGAGAACAGCUUUGACAUGGUUAACCGUAAUGGGAACCUCCGAGUUGGCUUCUUGGUCCUUUAGCUUCAUCAACUGUUGCAAAAAGUCUUUGCACUCACCAUCAUCCUUACUUUCUAGUUUUGGCAUCUUCUCAAUGGCUCCGUCGAAUAUGGCAAGACAGUCAGUUUAGUGUUUCUUUGUUAUUUAUUACCCUGUUCUGCUGUUAAAAUCUUUGUUUGUUUUCCUUUUUAAGCUUGGGUGGAUCUCUUGAUCUUUUUUUCGGUUUCUCUUGUAUGUUGUGUAAGUUGACAGACGAAGCAAGAGUUCUGUGUUUCUUUGUAUGAUGUUUCAAGUAACUACACUUUUGAGAGAAAAGUUUGGGGUUGGGAUUAAACCAGUGUGGCUUUCAAUAUUCCCAGUUUUGCUCCCUUUUAUUUACAGCCCCUGUUUUGGUCUGCUUUAAGACAUUUAUUUUCCUACCACUCUACAACAGCGUGAAUGGUGAUGGGCUGUUGAUAACUUUAUGCCGGAAACUACUAUGUUAUCUGGCCUUGAAAUAUUUUUCUCGAAAAUUAAAGAAAAGAGAAUGAUAUCGAGCAGGUAUGAAGUGUUUAAAGUGAUUUUAAUUAAAAUUAUAAAUAAUUAUCAUUGAAAAAUAUAUAUGUUUUAUAAAUGAAAAUAUGUGUUUUUAAGUUUACAAUCUGAAAAAUAUUUUAAAUAGGUGAUUUAUAAAGAUUGAUCGUAACAUUAGUGUAUUUUGUUGUAAUUCUUAAACAAAACAUAAAAAUGAAAAAAUUAUUUUGGACUGGCUUUAAGAUAUUUUAAUUUCAUUAUAAUAUUUUUAAUUCAACUAAACUAUCUUAAACUCAUUAAAAACAUAAGAAAAAAAACUAGAUGAAUACACAUUUCUAGAUGUUUUUUUUUUUCCCAUAUAGAACUUAAAGAAAAAAACUAUAAACAUUUCGAAAAUUGGGUUCUUGGUAUUGUUAUGUUUUUAUUCAGACUUCUUUUGUUUCUUAGUUCGACUUGGGGCAUAACAGUCUGAACUACUCCUCGGCAAAAACUACAAAACCAAAUUCUAUAAAUCCGAUUCAGGUCGGGUACGGGUUUGAUUUCCAUCCUUCCCUCCGUCAGUUUGAAUACUCCGGCAAUGUUUUCUCGAUUCCUCCACAGGAUCCGAAGUUCAAAAACCCCAAUCACGUCUCUCAAUUCAAUCAAACCUUUCACCUCGCUCAACCCUAAACCCCCAACCCGAGUCGCCGUCUUCUGGGACCUAGACAACAAACCACCCGCCUCCCACCCUCCCCACGACGCCGCCGUAAAGCUCCGAACCGCCGCGUCAUCCUUCGGCUCCGUGAAACUAAUGGUGGCCUACGCGAACCGCCACGCCUUCAGCUACGUCCCCGCGCAAGUCCGAGAGGAGAGGAAAGAUCGGAGACUCCUUAACCAACUGGAGAAAACCGGUUUAGCUAAACCGGCCGAGCCGUACUUCUGCGGCGUCUGCGACCGGAGAUUCUACGCCAACGAGAAGCUCAUCGCUCAUUUCCGCCAGAUCCACGAGACGGAGAAUCAGAAGCGCGUGAGGCAGAUCGAGGCUGCUAAGGGGCAUCAGAGAGUGAGGCUUGUGGCCAAGUACUCGAUGAAGAUGGAGAAGUACAAACGAGCUGCGAGGAACGUUUUGACUCCUAAGGAAGGUUACGGUUUAGCUGAUGAGCUGAAGCGUGGCGGGUUUUGGGUUAAGAUGGUGAGUGAUAAGCCCGAGGCGGCGGAUAGAGCGUUGAAGGAGCAUAUGGUUGAUGUGAUGGAUAGGAGGGAGGCUGAGUGUUUGGUUCUCGUGUCUGAUGACUCUGGUUUCGCUGAGGUUUUGUGGGAGGCGAAGGAGAGGUGUUUGAGGACGGUGGUGAUUGGGGAUUUGAGUGAAGGGAAGCUGAAGAGGGUGGCUGACGUGGCGUAUUCGUGGAAGGAGGUUGUGAUGGGGAAGGCGAAGAAGGAAGUUGAGAAGGUUGUUGGGAAGUGGAGGGAUAGAGAUGUGUUGAAGACGUUGGAGUGGAGUUAUGAUCCUGUUUUGGAGAAGGAGAGAGGUUUUUGUUGCGGGGAUUGGGAUUAUGGGUUUGAUUCUGAUGGUGAUGAUGAUGAGGUUGAGAAUGGAGCUGAGAUGGGAGAUGGUGGUGAUUGGUGGGAGAUGGAUGAUGAAGAUGGUGCUGGAUCUUCGAGACCCUGUCGAUGAACCUCCAUAGCAUUGGUUGUACAGAUCGAGGAUAAAUCAGUACGAUCUUGUGAAGCUAUUGUCGUAUUACAUGGUUGGCAGUAGCAAAAGAGAAGAAAGAAGAAAACUGAGUGGGAGAGAUUGAAAAUUCUUCACUCUAGUAAGCUCUCUUUGAAAGUUUAUGUUCUUCAUUCAUUGUCUCUAGUUGUCUGAGAUUCUAUAGGCAGCGAUUCAAUUUGUUUUUCCAAACCAUCAAAUGGUUAGUCAGGAUAGAGAACAGGAUACGGUGCAUAGAAAGUUUUGGAUUUACAGAAUAGAUUGAAUUACUACAGAGUGUAUAUGCAUCAAAGUCCCUAGCUAGUUUAUUUUAAUUUUUUUCUGUUUUUGGUAAAUAAGGUAGAAGAACUACACUGUCCACCCUAGCAUCGGUUCGGUUUAUUAUAGUUUUUGUUUUUUUUUGUUUUUGUUCUAGAAAUAUAGGAUCCUUUUGGGUCUUUAGGAAAUCCAGUUAGAUUUUUGGUUCGGUUCGUGUAAUACAAAUGGGAAUCGGCUAAUACCCGAGAUAAUUUCGAAUCCAAUUCGGUUCCGAUUCGGUUCCAGUUUUUUGAGUUAAUGCGGGUGUUAAACAAGAAAAUUCAGGUUUUUAGAUUAAAUAUCAGAUUUUUAGUUUUUCGGAUAAAAACUCGUAUAUUUCGGAUAAUUUGAUAUAUUUUGGACAAAAAAUAUUCGGAUAAUUUGGUCUAUUUUAUUUUUAAAAUAUUUGAUUAUUUUAAAAUAGAAAAUUGUUAAUAUUUAUAAGUUAUAUAAAUUAUAGUAUCUGUUUGUGCAAUGAUAGGAUCUAAAUCCGAACCAAAAUCAUGUAAUUGUAAGCUAUCAAAAUUUAUAUUAAAGAAGUGUGGACUGAUAUGAAGCUAAUAUCAAAGCAUGUAAGUUAAACAAAUGCUCCUUAUUCAAUAAUUUUGUUAUUUUUAACCGAAACUGGUGAUUAUUUUUAUGACAAAAAACAUAGAUGACGUCCGAAAACUACAUAAACACAACGAUCUUAGCUUCUACCAAACAUAGGUUAGGAUCAGACAACCUUGAAACAGGCAUGGCAAUAAGAGGGUUUUUGAGCUUUAAGACAAUACCAAACUUGUCUUCCACAUUGAACACAUGGCCUUCUGGAAUCUUCAAAUCAAAUGAAUGUAACAGCGUGGCAAGAGUGUACUGAACCAUCCUCUCUGCUAGUGCUAAACCGGCGCAAAUCCUCCGGCCAGAUCCAAAAGGAAGAAAGCUAUAGUCAGUUCCAUGGAAAUCACAAGACUUCUUAUCAAGAAACCUCUCAGGAUGAAACUCAUUCGGAUUUUCCCACACGUUUGGAUCUCUCUGAAUAGACCAGACAUUGAUGAAGAUCUUAGUGUCCUUAGGGACUGUGUAACCGCCGACCACAGUUGUUUCUGCUGGACGGUGAGGGACUAACAAAGGAACGGUCGGAUAAAGCCUAAGUGUUUCUUUCAUAAUUGCUACUAUGUAAGGAAGUUUAGUGAUGUGUGAUUCUUCAACAAUGUUAUCUUUUCCUACAACUUCGUCUAGCUCAUGUUGCGCUCUCUUCAUCGACUCUUGGUUCUUUAUAAGCUCUGCCAUAGCAAACUCUAUCGUGUUUGUAGAUGUAUCAGUACCACCAAUCACCAUAUCCUUCGCAUAUGAAGUAUAUAACAAACACAUGAAUCAAAAUAAUUUUCAUGAGCUAAGAAACAUAUUAUGAAACAAUUAAGGGCAAAUCUUCGAAAAGAACAUAAAAUGUUCUUAUGACUAAAAGAAUACACAUAGAAUACAAUGACCAAAAUAUGUUUGUGUCAAUUGUAGAUGAUAAUUAUAUUCUGACUAUAGAUAUAUAAUAAUAAAUAAAUAUUUUAAAAGAUAUUUUUGCAAAAAAACUGAAUUUUUGUUUUCGAAGAAAAUAUUUGAACUUUUUUCUUAAAACUACCAAAAAUUAAACUUUAAAUUUAAAUUAAUUAACUUUUAAGAUAUAAAUGUCUUUUACCUGUUUGAUAAAAUCUAUUUUGGUUAUUUUGACGUUUGAAGACUUUAUUUUUAUGAUAAUUUUUUUUAGUGGUAAGAUAUAUCUCAACAAUUACUUACCGCGAGUACGGCUUUGAUAUGGACACAUGGUUAAUCGUAAUGGGAACCUCCGAGUUGGCUUCUUGGUCCUUUAGCUUCCUCAACUGUUGCAAAAAGUCUUUGCACUCACCAUCAUCCUUACUUCCUAGAUUUGGCAUCUUCUCAAUGGCUCCGUCGAAUAUGGCAUCGAGCUCACGAGCGUGGCGCAUCUGCUUCACGAGCCCUUGAAGAUUCGCUAGCCACGGAAAAAAAUCUGAAACAUUAGGCUCACCCAAAAGCCUAGUUAUAUCAGAGACCAAUCCUUUAAACUCUGUUCCAACACUCUUCAUCUCCUCGGCUUUCACCGAACUUCCCCAUAACAUAUUCGUCAUUAGGUUCAUCAUCGUCACAAACAACUGAUCACCAACGUUCACCGCCGAUUUUUCUUGACUUUUCUCGUAUAAAAACCUCGUUCUCUCUCGGAUCUCUUUGCGCCGUAGCGCGUAGAAUGAAUCCAAAAUUUUGCGGUUAAGUAGUUUGAGAACACAAACUUUUCUAAGCAUUCUCCACUCCGCCCUGUACGGUAACCAAACAAUGUCGAGACCACCAUAGCUAAUGGCUCGAGCCGUGAGAGGGACGUCACGGUUUGAGAAGUUUAUGUCUUGUUCUUUCAAGAUCUCUCGGGCUAGCGACGGAGUGUUGACCACGACGGUUAGUUUUGAGCCAAGGUUGAGUCUGAAGAUUGGACCGUAUUCUUGAGCGAGGUCUCUGAAGUAGGUGUGAAGGUCCGGUUUAAGAAACGGGAGGUUUCCGACGAUACGUAGCCCUCAGGGUCCAGGUGGUAGAGGCGGUUGCGGCGAGCAUUUGAGAAGGAACCAGAGAACUGUAAUGAUAGUAGUGAGAACUAGAAUUUCGUAAGGAGGAACGUCCAUUGUGUUGUCGGUAAAGAGAUUUGAAAACGGAGACAUAUCUUUUAUGUCUGUUUGUAGAAACUUUGAGAUAAAUGUGGUUUUAUGGUGUUUUUGCACAUCAUCAUUUCAGCUUCAGACGUUUCCCAAUAUAUUGAAAAAAUGUCAUAAAAAAAAUAAAAUUAUAGUAAAAACCAAACUUUUUUUGUGGACAUCUGGAAAUAUAUAUCCUGUGAAGGUGAUAAGAAACUUGCCAACAAAAAAUAAUUUAUUAAUGAAUACUUAUUCCUUUAAAAUAUGGGUUUUUAGUGCAACUAUAUUUUUACUUCGGAUGAAAAACUUUCAACUAAAACUUUACGUUUUAAAAUCCUUAACUAUUAAACUGUUAAUGACGUUAACCCUCCGUCGACAAAGUCGUCUUUUCUGAACGGAUUUCUGUUAAAUUGAAUCGCGGGAUUUUAUUUAAUUACAGAAACGACACAAGAUGUUUAAAACUUUUUUCUGGUUUUUAGUGAUUUAAACCCCCAACUAUUUUUAGAUCAGAUGAAAAAACCUCCAACUAAAAGUUUAUGUUUGUAAACUCUCAACUAUUGAAACGUAAAUGCAUGUAACCCUCCCUCAAUGGUGUCUUCUAUUCUGAACAAAGACAUGGUAAAUUGAAACACAACGUUUCAUUUAAGCAGAUAAACGACAUGAUAUAUUUAAAAUCAUCACGAUUGGUGUCAAAACGGCAUGAUUUUUUGAACCAGAUUUUAAAUCCCCUCAUUCUGUCUCUAGUUCUUUGAGAUUCUAUAGGCGGUGAUUCAAUCUGCUCUUCCAAACCAUCAUAUGGUUUAUCAAGUGUUUAGUCAGGCUAGAGAACAAGGUACAUUGCAUAGAUAGUUUUGGAUUCACAAAAUAGAUUGAAUUACUACAGAGUGUAUAUGCAUCAAAGUCCCAAGCUAGUUUAUUAUUAUUAUUUUUCUAUUUUAGUUAUAUUAAAGAAAUUUGACCCAAAAAAAGGAAUUUUGGACAGAUAUGAAACUAAUAUCAAAAAGCAAUGAUUGUAAGGUAAACAAAUGCUCUUAGUUCCAUAAUUUGUUUUUUUUUAAAACCAAAUUGAUGAUUAUUUUUAUUACACAAACAUACAUGACGUUCGAAAACUUCAUUAAUACAAAGAUCUUAGUUUCUACAGAUAAAGAUUAGGAUCAGACAACCUCGGAACGGGCAUGGCAAUAAGAGGGUUUUUGAGCUUCAAGACAAUACCAAACUUAUCUUCCACAUUUAACUCAUGGCCUUCUGGAAUCUUCCAAUCGAAUGAAUGCAACAGCGUUGCAAGAGUGUACUGAACCAUCCUCUCUGCGAGUGCUACACCGGCGCAAAUUCUCCGGCCAGAUCCAAAAGGAAGAAAGCUAUAGUCAGUUCCAUGGAAAUCACAAGACUUCUUAUCAAGAAACCUCUCGGGACGAAAUUCGUUCGGGUUUUCCCACACAUUUGGGUCUCUUUGAAUAGACCAAACAUUGAUGAAGAUUUUAGUGUCCUUAGGGACGGUGUAACCGCCGACCACAGCUGUUUCAGCUGGACGGUGAGGGACUAACAAAGGAACGGUCGGGUAAAGCCUAAGUGUUUCUUUCAUAAUGGCUACUAUGUAAGGUAGUCUAGUGAUGUGUGAUUCUUCAACAAUGUUAUCCUUUCCUACAACUUCGUCUAGCUCUUGUUGCGCUCUCUUCAUCGACUCUGGGUUCUUUAUAAGCUCGGCCAUCGCAAACUCUAUCGUGUUUGUAGAUGUAUCAGUACCACCAAUCACCAUAUCCUUCGCAUAUACAGUACGUAUAUAACAAACAUGAAUCAGAAUCAUUCUCAUGAGCUAAGAGACAUGUUAUGAAACAAUUAAGGGCAAAUCUCUAAAAAGAACAUAAAGAUUGUUUUUAUGACCAAAAGAACACAGAAAAAACUGACUAAAUUAAAUAUGUUUCUUUUUGUAAAUAACAAUUAUAUUUCUACUUAAAUAUUUUUAAAAGAGAUUUUCGCAAUAAACUGAAUUUUUUAUUUUAAAAACAAAUAUUCUAAUUUUUUCUCUCCAAAAAAACCAAAACAACCCAAAAUUAAACUCCAAGUUUAAAUUUAACUCUUGGAGGUAUAAAUGGUCUUUUACUCUUCAGUAAAAUCUAUUUUAGUUAUUUUGAUUUUGAAAACUAUUUUUGUUAUAAAAACUUUUUAGUACUACUAUAUUUCUCAACAAUUAAUUACCGUGAGAACAGCUUUGACAUGGUUAACCGUAAUGGGAACCUCCGAGUUGGCUUCUUGGUCCUUUAGCUUCAUCAACUGUUGCAAAAAGUCUUUGCACUCACCAUCAUCCUUACUUCCUAGAUUUGGCAUCUUCUCAAUGGCUCCGUCGAAUAUGGCAUCGAGCUCACGAGCGUGGCGCAUCUGCUUCACGAGCCCUUGAAGAUCGAAUCUCGCUAGCCACGGAAAGAAAUCCGAAAUAUUAGGCUCACCCAAAAGCCUAGUUAUCUCAGAAACCACUACUUUAAACUCUGUUCCAACACUCUCCAUCUCCUCGGCUUUCACCGAACCUCCCCACAACAUAUUAAUCGUUAGAUUCAUCAUCGUCACGAACAACUGAUCACCAACGUUAACCGCCGCCUCUUCUUGACUUUUCUCGUAUAAAAACCUCGUUCUCUCUCGGAUCUCUUUGCGCCUUAGCUCGUAAAUUGAAUCCAACGUUUUGCGGUUAAGUAGUUUGAGGACACAAACUUUUCUAAGCGUUCUCCACUCCGCACUGUACGGUAACCAAACAAGGUCGAGACCACCAUAGGUAAUGGCUCGAGCCGUGAGAGGGACGUCACGGUUUGAGAAAUUGAUGUCUUGUUCUUUCAAGAUCUCUCGAGCUAGCGACGGAGUGUUGACCACGACAGUUAGUUUUGAGCCAAGGUUGAGUUUGAAGAUUGGACCGUAUUCUUGAGCGAGGUCUCUGAAGUAGGUGUGAAGGUCUGGUUUAAGAAACGGGAGGUUUCCGACGAUAGGUAGCCCUCGGGGUCCAGGUGGUAGAGGCGGUUGCGGCCAGUGGCGGAGCCCGGAUCAAUUUACACUGGGGUCAAAAUAAUUUUACGGGGUCAAAAUUUAUUAUUAAAUGGGGUCAAAAUAAUUUUUCUUUAACAAACACAAAAAAAAAUUAAAAAAUAGUGGGGUCAGCUGACCCCACUCCCCAUACACUCCCUCCGCCCCUGGUUGCGGCGAGCGUUUGAGAAGGAACCAAAAAACUGUAAUGAUAGUAGUGAGAACGAGAAUUGCGUAAGGAGGAACGUUCAUUGUGUUGUCGGUGAAGAGGUUUGAGAUCGGAGACAUGUUUUUACAGCUGUUUGUCGAAACGCUGAGAUUGACAAAUGUUGUUGUGUAGUGUUUUUUUUUAAGUACGUCAUCAUUUUAGCUUCAGUUUCCCAAUAUAUAUAGAGAAAAUGUCAUAUAAAAAUAAAUAAUAGGAAAAGCCAAUUUUCUUUUGUGGACAUCUGGAAAACCUAUAUCGAGUGAAGGUGAUAAGAAACUCAACGACAAAAAGAAAUAAUUUAUUUAAUGAAUAUUUUAUUUAUUUAAAAUAAAAAUAAGAAUAAAAAACGAAACAAAAGAGUUGUUUUUUUUUUUUUUUUUCCAUUUUGCCUCAUUUUUGGAUUCACGAGGAAUGAAAUUAAAGAUUAUCUGUUGUAUACAUAGGUUAAAAGAUUUCAAGUUUCUUUGGUUUUGUACAAUUGUCAUCGACUCUGGGUUCUUUAUAAGCUCGGCCAUCGCAAACUCUAUCGUGUUUGUAGAUGUAUCAGUACCACCAAUCACCAUAUCCUUCGCAUAUACAGUACGUAUAUAACAAACAUGAAUCAAAAUCAUUCUCAUGAGCUAAGAGACAUGUUAUGAAACAAUUAAGGGCAAAUCUCUAAAAAUAACAUAAAAGAUUGUUUUUAUGACCAAAAGAACACAGAAAAAAUGACUAAAUUAAAUAUGUUUCAUUAAAAAGGUAAAUAACAAUUAUAUUUCUACUUAAAUAUUUUUAAAAGAGAUUUUCGCAAUAAACUGAAUUUUUUAUUUAAAAAAAAAUAUUCUAAUUUUUUCUCUCCAAAAGAACCAGAACAACCCAAAAUUAAACUCUUGGGGGAGGAGUAUAAAUGUCUUUUACUCUUCAAUAAAAUCUAUUUUAGUUAUUUUGAUUUUGAAAACUAUUUUUGUGAUAAAAACUUUUUAGUACUGCUAUAUUUCUCAACAGUUAAUUACCGCGAGAACAGCUUUGACAUGGUUAACCGUAAUGGGAACCUCCGAGUUGGCUUCUUGGUCCUUUAGCUUCAUCAACUGUUGCAAAAAGUCUUUGCACUCACCAUCAUCCUUACUUUCUAGUUUUGGCAUCUUCUCAAUGGCUCCGUCGAAUAUGGCAUUAAGCUCACGAGAACACACGCGCAUCUGCUUCAAGAGCCCUUGAAGAUCGAAUCUCGCUAGCCACGGAAAGAAAUCCGAAAUAUUAGGCUCACCCAAAAGCCUAGUUAUCUCAGAAACCACUACUUUAAACUCUGUUCCAACACUCUCCAUCUCCUCGGCUUUCACCGAACCUCCCCACAACAUAUUAAUCGUUAGAUUCAUCAUCGUCACGAACAACUGAUCACCAACGUUAACCGCCGCCUCUUCUUGACUUUUCUCGUAUAAAAACCUCGUUCUCUCUCGGAUCUCUUUGCGCCUUAGCUCGUAAAUUGAAUCCAACGUUUUGCGGUUAAGUAGUUUGAGGACACAAACUUUUCUAAGCGUUCUCCACUCCGCACUGUACGGUAACCAAACAAGGUCGAGACCACCAUAGGUAAUGGCUCGAGCCGUGAGAGGGACGUCACGGUUUGAGAAAUUGAUGUCUUGUUCUUUCAAGAUCUCUCGACCUAGCGACGGAGUGUUGACCACGACAGUUAGUUUUGAGCCAAGGUUGAGUUUGAAGAUUGGACCGUAUUCUUGAGCUAGGUCUCUGAAGUAGGUGUGAAGGUCUGGUUUAAGAAACGGGAGGUUUCCGACGAUAGGUAGCCCUCGGGGUCCAGGUGGUAGAGGCGGUUGCGGCCAGUGGCGGAGCCCGGAUCAAUUUACACUGGGGUCAAAAUAAUUUUACGGGGUCAAAAUUUAUUAUUAAAUGGGGUCAAAAUAAUUUUUCUUUAACAAACACAAAAAAAAAUUAAAAAAUAGUGGGGUCAGCUGACCCCACUCCCCAUACACUCCCUCCGCCCCUGGUUGCGGCGAGCGUUUGAGAAGGAACCAAAAAACUGUAAUGAUAGUAGUGAGAACGAGAAUUGCGUAAGGAGGAACGUUCAUUGUGUUGUCGGUGAAGAGGUUUGAGAUCGGAGACAUGUUUUUACAGCUGUUUGUCGAAACGCUGAGAUUGACAAAUGUUGUUGUGUAGUGUUUUUUUUUAAGUACGUCAUCAUUUU